rnacentral:rRNA from 1 species
AUACGGAGGAUCCGAGCGUUAUCCGGAUUUAUUGGGUUUAAAGGGUGCGCAGGCGGCCAUUUAAGUCAGCGGUUAAAUCGUGGGGCUCAACCCCAUUCUGCCGUUGAUACUGGGUGGCUUGAUUGCGGUCGAGGUUGGCGGAAUUCGUUGUGUAGCGGUGAAAUGCAUAGAUAUGACGAAGAACACCGAUUGCGUAGGUAGCUGACCAGACCGCAAAUGACGCUCAUGCACGAAAGUGCGGGGAUCGAACAGGAUUAGAUACCCUGGUAGUCCGCACAGUAAACGAUGAAUACUUGUUUUCGGCGAUAUAAUGUCGGAGGCAAAGCGAAAGCGAUAAGUAUUCCACCUGGGGAGUACGCCGGCAACGGUGAAAUUCAAAUGAAUUGACGGGG